rnacentral:tRNA from 1 species
AAGGUCUUAGCUUAAUUAAAGUGUCUGAUUUGCAUUCAGGAGAUGCGUAUUAAUAUUUCGCAGGUCUUA